UUGCAUUUGAGGCCAGUGAGGAUGAGAACCUCCGGGGGCAGGAGGUUCGACUCGAGCGAAGCGAGAGAACGUUGCGUCAGCAACGGCCCGCAGGGCGAGCCACGAAGUGGUGAGUCAUCCUCUAUCACCGACCA
rnacentral:sRNA from 1 species